UUCCCAUUUCUUCUAUUUCAGUGUUUCCAGUCCAACCCAAGAGAAGCAGAUUCUUGCUUCAGAAACUACAGAAAAUCUCUCUUCGAAAGUUUUCUACCCGGGGCCAGAAGGAAUGAACAUUUGUUUCCAAUACAUGCAUCUCUAUGUCCCAAAGAACUUUAAAGACAAAACCAAAACACUGAGACAUUCUUGGAGCUCCCAGAAUACAGCAGCAUUUUAUUGGUACAAGAAAAAUUAUCUCCAAAGUAUUUCAGCAAAGGAACAUAUAUAAGUAAUACAGGAUUGGCCAUAUAGGAGAAAAGAAUUGAAUAAAAAAACUGAACGGGAGGAGGCUAUGUACCUGCAGUCUUUUUCAAACUCCUUGGAUUCAUCAGUGCAGUAGAAGAAUCUGCCUUUAAAGAGCUGGACAGCAACCACAGCGAAGAUGAACAUGAAGAGCAUGUAUACAAUAAGAAUAUUGAGGACAUUUUUGAGUGAAUUCACCACACAGUCAAAGACAGCCUGUGGAAAACAGAUACGCUGGAUGCAGUGGCUCAGGGCGAUGGCUCAGUUGGCAGCCUGUGUUCAAGACCAGAGUACUGCACAAAAGGGUGAGUUCCGGUUCCUGCCCCAGCUCCUGCCCACCUAGCACUUCGAAAGCACGCAAAUGUGAGUAGAAAAAUAGGUACUGCUUCA